UGCAAUGAUGUUGUAAUUUGCGCCUUACUCUGUAUUCAGUGACAGUUGCCUACUGUCAUCAUGCUAGUACAGAUGAUUGAUGAUCCUUUAACUCUGAGCA